rnacentral:rRNA from 1 species
UGGGGAAUUUUGGACAAUGGGCGCAAGCCUGAUCCAGCCAUGCCGCGUGCAGGAAGAAGGCCUUCGGGUUGUAAACUGCUUUUGUCAGGGAAGAAAUCCUUCGGGUUAAUACCUCGAAGGGAUGACGGUACCUGAAGAAUAAGCACCGGCUAACUACGUGCCAGCAGCCGCGGUAAUACGUAGGGUGCGAGCGUUAAUCGGAAUUACUGGGCGUAAAGCGUGCGCAGGCGGCUUUGCAAGACAGAUGUGAAAUCCCCGGGCUCAACCUGGGAACUGCAUUUGUGACUGCAAGGCUAGAGUGCGGCAGAGGGAGAUGGAAUUCCGCGUGUAGCAGUGAAAUGCGUAGAUAUGCGGAGGAACACCGAUGGCGAAGGCAAUCUCCUGGGCCUGCACUGACGCUCAUGCACGAAAGCGUGGGGAGCAAACNGGAUUANUNCCCUGGUAGUCCCACGCCCUAAACGAUGUNACUGGUUGUUGGACGGCUUGCUGUUCAGNAACGAAGCUAACGCGUGAAGUUGCCG